GCGUGAUUGGUUUAGUGGUAAAAUUCUCCGUUGCCAUCGGGGAGCCCUGGGUUCGAUUCCCAGAUCACGCA
rnacentral:tRNA from 19 species